rnacentral:rRNA from 1 species
UACAGAGGUCUCAAGCGUUGUUCGGAUUCAUUGGGCGUAAAGGGUGCGUAGGUGGCGGGGUUAGUCAGGUGUGAAAUCUCGGAGCUCAACUCCGAAACUGCACUUGAUACUGCCUUGCUAGAGUACUGGAGAGGAGAUUGGAAUUUACGGUGUAGCAGUGAAAUGCGUAGAUAUCGGGAGGAACACCCGUAGCGAAGGCGGCACUCUGGGCCGGUACUGACGCUGAGGAGCGAAAGCGUGGGGAGCAAACAGG